rnacentral:lncRNA from 1 species
CUCCAUCCUUACUCCCUGCCCUCCUUCCUUACUCCUUGUCCUCUAUCCUUACUCCCUGUCCUCCAUCCCCGCUCCCUGUCCUCCAUCCUUGUUCCGUACCCUCCAUCCCCGCUCCCUGUCCUCCAUCCUUGUUCCAUACCCUCCAUCCCCGCUCCCUGUCCUCCAUCCUUGUUCCAUACCCUCCAUCCCCGCUCCCUGUCCUCCAUCCUCACUCCUUGUCCUCCCCUAUUGCCCCAGAGACGCAAAAUGGACCUCACUUCACCAGCAGCCCACAUGGGCACCCAGAGAGCUGCAUUUCUCCAAAGCCUGGACGCAGAGAAGCUUGGGAGAACCUCUGCGAGUGGGACAAGGAAUGCCCACCAUCCUUAUAUCCUCCUCUGUCCCUGCCCUGAAGAUGGCGAAGGUGGCAACCAAGCGGAAGGGCACGAAGUCAGCACAGCUUCAGCCCGGCACGCACAGAACACCAUUCCCACCAGCAAAAAGCCACCUCCGGUCUCCCAGAGCUCUUCUCAAUUUCGAACAGCUUCAGAACUCAUCUCACUGAGGGUUCCUCAAUGCCUCCUGGAUCCCUCCGGGUCAUCCCGGCCCCUCCUGGGUCCCUCCCAGCCCAGCAGCGCAGAGCCCACGCUGACGCUGGAGCACAGACGAAUCCCUCUCGGCUCACUUUUCAGGUGAAGCAAACUGAAUCCCAGCAAGGGGAGGCUGGAAAUGCUCCAGCCUACGGCGGGUCCCACCUCUUCAACGGCUGUGUUCCAUCACCAGAGAGCCAGCGUGUGCUCCAGGGAGCAGCCCGCGGCACCUGCCGGGAUUGCGCAGUGCCAACAGCCGUCAGCUCUGACAAGGCCUGACACUCUUAUUGCUGCACAUGGCCAGUUACGGUAAUACGAAAGGACUCCUGUCCUCCUGAGCCCGCCGUGAUUGAAUUAACAUGAUCACCCUUUUUUUGCCAGUAACGUAGACCUGGGUUUUUUUGGGUUUUUUUCUCCUUAAAUCAAUAAGACACGUCGUUUGCAAGAGGCUUUUAUCGUGCCGUGUUCACACAAGCCUGUGAGCCCGACCCCCCCUCACACCUCCAUCAGUGACAGCGAUGUGUCAAUGGGCACCGUUCUGCUCGCUGGAUGACGCUGAGCUCUGCUGAGGAUCUGCCCCUGCUGCCAGCCCAAAAGAACGUGAACAACGCUCCCCCAAGGAGCAGCAAGGGGAAAAGAACGCUGCUUUCCAAGGCGCCGGGUAGAGUUUGGGUGCUGGACCAGAUGGGGGUUGGAGCUUGAUGAUCCUUGAGGUGCCUUCCAACCUGGGCCUUUCUAAGACCUUGGAAGGUCCCUUCCAACCCAAAUGAUGGGUGGGAAUUACGAGGGCAGAGUGGGAAUCCAGCAAAGUGACCCCAGGGAGCACAGCUGUGCUUCAGGAGCUCCUCCUCCUCCCGGCGACGGUGGUUGGACUGCCCAAAGCAACGCUGAGUGGGGGGACGGGGGAGAACCCGAACGGAAAGGAUGCCAAAGACACCCAGAGCGGCCAAGUUGGAAAGUAAAGAGCAGGAAUUCGUAGGGGGAUGGGAUGCGGGCUAACAAUGAAGAGCAAAGCUCAGCCACGGCUUCUGCCAGCGCUGCUUGGAGAGGUUGUAUGGGACACAACAUGAGCACGGUUGGCAAGCCUGGUGGGGAUGGGCUGGUUGGAUGUGGGGAUGUUGGAGGUCAUUGCCAGCCUUAAUGACUCCGAUUCUACAAGCAAAACAUGGUGGGGAUGGGUUGGUGUUGAUUUGGGGAUCUUGGAGGUCAUUUCCAACCACGGUGUUUCCACACUUCGGUCGCUGUACAACAGAUGUUGGCCGAUGAGGUCCAUUUUGCUGCCUGAAGGAGUCCGGAUGCAGGUGAGCGCUGCGCCGGGCCACCAGAAUCAGCGGUUUGUAAGGUUCUCAAUGACCAAGACAGACCUUGGAGGUCUCUUCCUUCAUCAUUCUACGACUCCACGGCUCGGGAUCUCCUUUCUUAGCUGCCUCAGUGGACGGUGCUGGCGCACAUGGGCUCGGGAAAGCCUCCUGUCCUCCACAGCCCCUUACAGAACAAGCUGGCUGAUCCUACUGGGGACGAAGGUCGGUGCUGCCCACCCUCUGCCUGCACAGCAGCACGACGGGAAGGGAAAGCGAAGACCCACCUCCUCUCUCACUCCCUCCACGCGUGCGGAGCUGUUAAACACCCCAAACACAACGUCACCGUGCCCACGACCACUCCGAGAGGGACCUAAUUUGCUCCCCUGCCCUACGGGGGAACUACCCUUAAGCACUCGGCCGCUCGCACGCUUAUUGCCCUCGCCACGGCGGGACGUUAAGCUUCGGCGCAGUGAGAUGAUUGCUUUUUAAAUCCCAGUCUCCCAGGAUUUUAAUUACUGGUCUGGCAGGGCUGGGAGUGGAAGUUGCUGCCGUCGGACGGAGGGGUCGAUACGCCGUCCCGGAACAUAUUGAGCCACGGUGCUCGCAGGCUCUAUUGAACUAUUUAAUCUUUCUUUUUUUUUUUCUUGCAAAAUUUACC